rnacentral:rRNA from 1 species
CAGUCGCCGCGGUAAUACGUAGGUGGCAAGCGUUGUCCGGAAUUAUUGGGCGUAAAGGGCUCGCAGGCGGUUUCUUAAGUCUGAUGUGAAAGCCCCCGGCUCAACCGGGGAGGGUCAUUGGAGACUGGGAAACUUGAGUGCAGAAGAGGAGAGUGGAAUUCCACGUGUAGCGGUGAAAUGCGUAGAGAUGUGGAGGAACACCAGUGGCGAAGGCGACUCUCUGGUCUGUAACUGACGCUGAGGAGCGAAAGCGUGGGGAGCGAACAGGAUUAGAGACCCCCGUAGUCCCUGUCUCUUAUAC